rnacentral:rRNA from 1 species
UACGGAGGGGGCGAGCGUUGUCCGAAGUUACGUGGGCGUAAAGCGCGCGUAGGCGGGUUGGUAAGUCCGCUGUGAAAGCCCGGAGCUUAACUCCGGAGGGUCGGUGGAUACUGCCAGUCUUGAAGGUGCUAGGGGGAGAUGGAAUUACCGGUGUGAGCUGGUGAAAUGCGUAGAGAUCGGUAGGAACACCAGUGGCGAAGGCGGUCUCCUGGGGCAUUCUUGACGCUGAGGCGCGAAAGCUGGGGGGAGCGAACGGG